AUUGAACGCUGGCGGCAGGCCUAACACAUGCAAGUCGAGCGGGGUUUUCGGACCUAGCGGCGGACGGGUGAGUAAUGCGUAGGAAGCUACCCGAUAGAGGGGGAUACCAGUUGGAAACGACUGUUAAUACCGCAUAAUGUCUACGGACCAAAGUGUGGGACCUUCGGGCCACAUGCUAUCGGAUGCGCCUACGUGGGAUUAGCUAGUUGGUGAGGUAAUGGCUCACCAAGGCGACGAUCUCUAGCUGGUUUGAGAGGAUGAUCAGCCGCACUGGAACUGAGACACGGUCCAGACUCCUACGGGAGGCAGCAGUGGGGAAUAUUGGACAAUGGGCGCAAGCCUGAUCCAGCCAUGCCGCGUGUGUGAAGAAGGCCUUCGGGUUGUAAAGCACUUUCAGCGAGGAGGAAGAGUUGUGUGUUAAUAGUACACAGCUUUGACGUUACUCGCAAAAGAAGCACCGGCUAACUCUGUGCCAGCAGCCGCGGUAAUACAGAGGGUGCAAGCGUUAAUCGGAAUUACUGGGCGUAAAGCGCACGUAGGCGGUUUUUUAAGUCAGAUGUGAAAGCCCCGGGCUCAACCUGGGAAUUGCAUUUGAAACUGGAAAACUAGAGUGUGUGAGAGGGGGGUAGAAUUCCAAGUGUAGCGGUGAAAUGCGUAGAGGUUUGGAGGAAUACCAGUGGCGAAGGCGGCCCCCUGGCACAACACUGACGCUCAGGUGCGAAAGCGUGGGGAGCAAACAGGAUUAGAUACCCUGGUAGUCCACGCCGUAAACGAUGUCUACUAGCUGU
rnacentral:rRNA from 1 species